ensembl:snoRNA
CCGGCUGAUGAGACUAAGGCGAAUGUGACAGCCUACUGACCCUUGGCUUCUGGGGUGGGGAGGGGUGACUCGUGAGAUCUGAGAUCUUGGUGGGGCUGCCCGAGGCCCGACUCCCCACUCUAAGGCCAGAUCAACAGCAUUCUGGCCUUGCCUUCAAGUCUGCUGCCACCUCAGUUCUUGGCAGCACCCUGCAGGGAGGCCCACAGCAGGUGGCCAAAGCGUGAGUAGCCUUGUGAGCACAACCUUGAAUCUGACA